rnacentral:rRNA from 1 species
GACGAACGCUGGCGGCGUGCCUAAUACAUGCAAGUAGAACGCAGUUGCGAACGGGUGAGUAACGUGUAGGUAACCGCCUCAUAGCGGGGGAUUACUAUCGGAAACGAUUGCUAAUUCCGCAUACUUGGAGAUGGAUCUGCGUUGUAUUGGGUGGUUGGUGAGGUAAAGGCUCACCAAGGCGACGAUACAUAGCCGAACUGAGACGGUGUGCGGCCAACCUGGGAAUGCGACAAGGCCCAGACGCCCACGGGAAGCAGCAGUAGGGAAUCGUCGGAAAUGGGUGGAAGUCUGAACGCACAACGGCGCGGGAGUGAAGAAGGUUUUCGGGUCGGAAAGCUCUGUUGUUAGGGAAGCGGUAACGAAACAAGAAGGGACGGCUAACUACGUGCCAGCAGCCGCGGUAAUAC